rnacentral:tRNA from 1 species
GGAGAUGUAGCUCAGUGGUGGAGCACCUGUUUAGCAUGCAUGAGGCCCUAAGUCUGAUCCCUAGCACUUCCC